AUACGUAGGGGGCGAGCGUUGUCCGGAAUGAUUGGGCGUAAAGGGCGCGUAGGCGGCUUUGCAAGUCAGUAGUGGAAGUCCAUUUUUCAAGGAUGGAAGUGCUACAGAAACUGCGGAGCUUGAGUGCAGGAGAGGUUAUCGGAAUUCCCGGUGUAGCGGUGAAAUGCGUAGAGAUCGGGAGGAACACCAGUGGCGAAGGCGGGUACCCGGACUGCAACUGACGCUGAGGCGCGAAAGUGGGGGGAGCAAACAGGAUUAGAUACCCUGGUAGUCCACACUGUAAGCGAUGAAUGCUAGGUGUAGGGGGAAGCGACCCCUUCUGGGCCGCAGUAAACACAGUAAGCAUUCCGCCCGGGGAGUACGGUCGCAAGAUUAAAACUCAAAGGAAUUGGCGGG
rnacentral:rRNA from 1 species